GCGCGCGCUGGGGCUCGCCGCCGCCGCGGUGCCCGCUGCGGUUCCGGCCGUGCCAGCAUGGUGGAUGUGUUCAGCGGGCGGCUCCUGGUCAGCAAGGAUGGCCGCAGCGUGGACCCCGAGGAGGCUCUGCAGAACAAGGUCGUGGGCUUGUACUUCUCCGCCGGCUGGUGCUCGCCGUGCCGCGACUUCACUCCCGUCCUCUGCAACUUCUACGUGGAGCUGCUGGAGGAGACCGAGCCCCCCGCGCCCUUCGAGGUCGUCUUCAUCUCCUCCGACCACAGCGCAGAGGAGAUGGUGGGCUACAUGCGCGCCAUGCACGGGGACUGGCUGGCUCUGCCCUUCCACGACCCCUACAAGCAUGAUCUGAAGAAGAAGUACAACAUAACAGCAAUUCCUAAACUGGUGAUUGUGAAACAAUCUGGAGAAGUCAUUACUGACAAGGGAAGAAAACAGAUCAGAGACAAAGGGGUAUCCUGUUUCCGGAACUGGCUUGAGGGUGCAGAUAUCUUUCAGAAUUUUUCUAGCUAAAAUGCUGACAAAUAAAAGCAAGAAAAGGCAUUGUGGAAAACUCAGUAGAGCUCUGAAAAGACUUUUGCUUUGUUAAGAAUGAGAAGGCUGUUGAAAAACCUCCUGCCUGACCAGAAUCUGUGAAGUAGGCUGUGUUUGCAGUAUGACAGAAGUGUGGUGUAAUUAUCAUGCUGGAUGGAGCUCAGGUGAUUACUGAAGUGGAACAUAGUCCACAGGGUGAGAUAACACAUUAUUAGUAACAGGUACAUCUGAAACUGCAGACACUCUUCCAGAAGAUAGUUCAUCAUCACUGGCUCAGGCAGGUGAUUGUAUCCAGAGAAAAACGAAAUCACAUUCAUACUAUCCCUGCAAUGCGCAAAUGUCCAAAUGGGACCAGACAGAUUCUUGAAGAGAAAUUCUCCCUUAUGCUAAAACAAGCCCAUUGACUGUAGCAGGAUUUUUGGAGACAGACACAGAGAGGCCUGACAAUGCUGGGAAAGUUCUGUUGUUUUAGCACUGUCAAGGACGAUGAGCCUGAGAACCAGGACACUGAGCCUGAGAACCAGCUUUUUCCCUCAAUAAAGUGUAAACAGGUAACUGCAAAGGAAUGCUUAUGCAGAUAACACUAGCCAAUAGCGAGUAGUAAAAUGCCAUGUGAACAG